GCCAGGCACGGCAGUGCAUUUCUAGAAUGUCAGCCCCCUGGAGUCUGAGGCGGAUGCAUCUCUUGACCUUGGGAGUUCAGAACCCGCAGUGGACUGUGCCAAUCGGGUGUCCUAAGUUUGGCGUUACUAUGAUGAACCCUUGGGAGUGGGUGGCUACCAGAUUGCCUAAGGAGGGGUGAACUGGCCCAGGUGGGAAACAGAGCAGGUUAAGGCUCCCAUGCCAAUCAGUAGCAGGAUGAAGCUGUGAGCAGCUCCUGCACUGCCAGCCUGGGGCACGCGGGAGCCUAGUUUU
rnacentral:SRP_RNA from 1 species